UACGGCUACAACACGUUGAAACACCGUUACCCGUACAAUCACCGCAGUUAAGCAACAUCGAGACUGGGCAGUACUUAGAUGGGUAAUCGCUUGGUAAUGGCAGGUGAUGUAAG